UGCAAGUCGAGCGCGUUGGCCUAAUUGAUUGAUGGUGCUUGCACCUGAUUGAUUUUGGUCGCCAUCGAGUGGCGGACGGGUGAGUAACACGUAUGUAACCUGCCCAGAAGCGGGGGACAACAUUUGGAAACAGAUGCUAAUACCGCAUAACAACGUUGUUCGCAUGAACGACGCUUAAAAGAUGGCUUCUCGCUAUCACUUCUGGAUGGACCUGCGGUGCAUUAGCUUGUUGGUGGGGUAACGGCCUACCAAGGCGAUGAUGCAUAACCGAGUUGACAGACUGAUCGGCCACAAUGGGACUGAGACACGGCCCAUACUCCUACGGGAGGCAGCAGUAGGGAAUCUUCCACAAUGGGCGCAAGCCUGAUGGAGCAACACCGCGUGAGUGAAGAAGGGUUUCGGCUCGUAAAGCUCUGUUGUUAAAGAAGAACACGUAUGAUAAUAACUGUUCAUACGUUGACGGUAUUUAACCAGAAAGUCACGGCUAACUACGUGCCAUCAGCCGCGGUAAUACGUAGGUGGCAAGCGUUAUCCGGAUUUAUUGGGCGUAAAGAGAGUGCAGGCGGAUUUCUAAGUCUGAUGUGAAAGCCUUCAGCUUAACCGGAGAAGUGCAUCCGAAACUGGAUAACUUGAGUGCAGAACACGGUAUUGGAACUCCAUGUGUAGCGAUGGAAUGCGUAGAUAUAUGGAAGAACACCAGUGGCUAAUGCGGCUACCUGGUCUGCAACUGACGCUGAGACUCGAAAGCAUGAGUAGCGAACAUGAUUAGAUACGCUGGUAGUCCAUGCCGUAAACGAUGAGUGCUAUGUGUUGGAGGGUUUCCGCCCUUCAGUGCCGGAGCUAACGCAUUAAGCACUCCGCCUGGGGAGUACGACCGCAAAGGUUGAAACUCAAAGGAC
rnacentral:rRNA from 1 species